GCGGAUGGCUGGAUGGCCGCUGGCGGGUUUCCCAGGAAACGCGUCGGAGGAAAGUCCGGACUCCAAGACGGCACGGUGCCGGGUAACGCCCGGCGGGGGCAACCCCAGGGAUAGCGCCACAGAGAACAGACCGCCCCGGGCUCGCCCGGGGUAAGGGUGAAACGGUGGGGUAAGAGCCCACCGGGCGCCGGGCAACCGGGGCCGCAUGGCAAGCCCCACCGGGAGCAAUGCCGAAUAGGGGCCUCGUGCCGGGUGCAAGCCCGGCAGGGACGCCUGACCCGAGAGGCCCGGGUAGGCAGCUGGAGGCGCGGGGGCAACCUCGCGCUCAGAGGAAUGGUCAUCCAUCCGGGGGGCGACCCCCGGGGGACAGAAUCCGGCUUACAGGUCGUCCGCGCAA
rnacentral:RNase_P_RNA from 1 species